rnacentral:rRNA from 1 species
CCCUUAGAUGUUCUGGGCCGCACGCGCGCUACACUGAUGCAUUCAACGAGUCUAAAACCUGCUCUGAUAGGGGUGGGUAAUCUUUUGAAUGUGCAUCGUGAUUGGGAUAGAUGAUUGCAAUUUUUCAUCUUCAACGAGGAAUGCCUAGUAAACGCAAGUCAUCAGCUUGCAUUGAUUACGUCCCUGCCCUUUGUACACACCGCCCGUCGCUCCUACCGAUUGAAUGAUCCGAUGAAUUUCAUGGAUUGAGGAUGCAAGCAGGUUCGCCUGUCUUCAUCUUCGAGAAGUGAAGUAAAUCUUAUCAUUUAGAGGAAGGAGAAGUCGUAACA